GUCUACGGCCGUACCACCCUGAACACGCUGGAUCUGUCUGAUCUCUGAAGCUAAGCAGGGUCAGGCCUGGUUAGUACUUGGAUGAGAGAAAAGUCUUUUUCACUGAAUUUU
rnacentral:rRNA from 1 species